GAGACUUCCAUCUCAACGUAUCAGAGUCCAAAUGGUUGUGUCCAACUGUCUUAGUUGUUAGUUAGUUAGUGAUUAGUUUGUUAAUUAGCUAAUUAGUUUAGCCAUUUUGCUCUAUAAAUACAGCACCAUGUAUACAUUUUUAGUCUAUUGGAAUGUGGAUUUCCAAUCCCUCCUAUGGAGGUUUCAUUUUCUCCUUCUAUGGAGUUUCUAUUCCUCCUUUAAUGGAGUGUUUCAUUUUCACUUUUUAUGGAGUUUUCUUCUCCUCCUUUCAUGGAGUGAUUCCUCCUUCAUGGAGUGCCUUUAUAUUCUCCUUUUAUGGAGUUUGUCUUUCUCCUUAAUGGAGUUUAAUAAACUGUUUUUCAUCCAAUGAUUUUUAAUAUGGUAUCAGAGCAGAAUCUGCUUCCUGCUGCUGCUUUCCUAAGAUUUAAUUCAUCUCAUUUUUGCGGUAUUCUGCUCAAAGAAAGCAGAUCUGUGGUUUCUUCCAUUUCGACACAAUUCUGGAAGUGUCAUUCCCAGAAUUUUCAUAUCUAUGUCGUUUUCUCUCUUCUGAAACUGAUCAUUGAGAUUCAGUCCACUGGAUUUCAAUUUACCUUCAUUCUCAUUCAAUUCGAAGAGGUUUUCUGAAGGACGUUGAAGAACAGUGAUUCCUCGAAGGUGUAACUAGUAAUGGCAUGCUUCUUCGAAGUAUCGCCGAUCGAGCUGAAUUUACCAAUUUCAACAAUAAAAUUUCUCUUCAUUUUCUUCUGGAUCUCUAACAUUAUCGAGCUGUUAAAUCAGAGUGUAGCAUGCAUUUGUAAUCCUGUUGUAAUAACAGAUUUGGUUAGAGACUGUGCAACUCCGGGUGCUGAUUUGUUUAGAAGUAUUGCCGCAAAAAUUAUUGGUGCAGUUGAUAUCUUCUAUUGAAAUGCUUUCUCUUGGUUCACAUGAACCGGAGUUUUUAGUGCUGUGGAAGAUCCAAAUGAUGUGCACAUAAGGUGUUUGGUAAAAUGUCCAACAAGGUCUUCUGCAGACAAGUUUCCAUCAAUCAGCUGAAGAAGGAAUGGAAUCCAUUAGAAAUCUCUUCCAAUGCUCAUGUCAUCAUAAGGUGUUAUGUAUGUUGGUAGUGGCGUCUCUACUACAAUUAUAUUAGCAAUGAUGCUUGCAGGAAACUCAUCAGCCGAUGCAUCCACGUUUCACUCCAUUUCUCUCAUCUUCAAGAUGGAUCUCCUAGUCCAUCUUGACGGGGGUGUGUUGGAAUACACGUGCACCAAACAUCAGCAGAUUCGUGCUCCAGAUUCUAGAGACUUCCAAACAUCAGCAGAUUCGUGCUCCAGAUUCUAGAGACUUCCAUCUCAACGUAUCAAAGUCCAAAUGGUUGUGUCCAGC
rnacentral:lncRNA from 1 species